GUGCUCACUUUGGCAGCGCAUAUGCUAAAAUUGGAAUGAUACUGAGAUUAGCAUGGCCCCUUUGCAAGGAUGAUAUGCAAAUUCUUAAAGCAUUCCAUUUUUUU